AUGUCUUUCUGUGAGGGAGUGACAGUGUGUCCUCGCUGUGGCGGCAUGCAUGUAUCUGCAUCUACGCAGGUGAGCAGAGACCUGAGGGAGCAGCACAGGCAGACACAGCCUCUGAUGGAAGCUUUUCAAUCGCUGUCGCAUCUUCUUAGUGCGCCGAAUCAAUCAAUGAGAAAUACAGCUGACGACAUGCGAGCGUCACUGAGGACACAGAGGACAGCGGUCAGUGACAUGAGAAGACCACUUGAGGAUUUGGCAGAAGUGAGGCGCAUCAUUGAAAGCAGCAACUAGACCCCUGAGAACAGCCAGCAAUUGAUAGAUUAUGUCAUAAAUAAGUGUCCGAAUGCAGAGAUCAGGGAAAGUCUGAAAGGAAGUUCUCAGAGUUUGG
rnacentral:lncRNA from 1 species